rnacentral:lncRNA from 1 species
AUGUUUUAGGGUUUAGAUUUGAAGGUUUAGGGUUUAGAGUUGAUGUUUUGGGGUUUAGGGUUUAGACUUGAUGUUUCAUGGUUUAAGGUUUAGAGUUGAUGAUUUAGGGUUUAAAGUUGAUGUUUUAAGUUUAGAUUUAGGGUUUAGGGUUUACGUUUAGGGUUUGGAGUUGAUGUUUUAGGGUUUAGAUUUGAAGGUUUAUGGUUUAGGGUUUAGGGUUUAAAGUUGAUGUUUCGGGGUUUAGGGUUUAGAGUUAUGUUUCGGGGUUUAGGGUUUAGAGUUAUGUUUCGGGGUUUAGGGUUUACAGUUGAUGAUUUAGGAUUUAAAGUUGAUGUUUUAAAUUUAGAUUAGUUAACCAUUUAUUUAUUUUUUUGUCAAAGUUAAUCAAAAUGUUAUAAACGUUUUUUAUCCUUCAUUAAAGGUGAGGAUAAAAA